AAUCCAUAGGAACGUGUCUUUAGGAGGGGAAUAACCACGGGAAACCGUGGCUAAUACCGCGUAACCUCGCAAGAGUAAAGAAGGCCUCUAUUUAUAAGCUUUCACCUAAAGAGCGGCCUAUGUCCCAUUAGCUAGUUGGCGGGGUAAAAGCCCACCAAGGCAACGAUGGGUAGCUGGUCUGAGAGGACGAUCAGCCACACUGGAACUGAGACACGGUCCAGACUCCUACGGGAGGCAGCAGUGGGGAAUAUUGCACAAUGGGCGCAAGCCUGAUGCAGCAACGCCGCGUGAGUGAAGAAGGCCUUCGGGUUGUAAAGCUCUUUCGACAGGGAAGAAGGGUGAUUAGGUAAACAAUCUAGUCAUUUGACGGUACCUAGAGAAGAAGCACCGGCUAACUCCGUGCCAGCAGCCGCGGUAAUACGGAGGGUGCAAGCGUUGUUCGGAAUUACUGGGCGUAAAGCGCACGUAGGCGGGCGUGUAAGUCAGAUGUGAAAUCCCCGGGCUUAACCUGGGAAUUGCAUUUGAAACUGCAUGUCUUGAAUGCUUGAGAGGAUGACGGAAUUCCUGGUGUAGAAGUGAAAUUCGUAGAUAUCAGGAGG
rnacentral:rRNA from 1 species